CCUAGGGUGGCUGCAGUGGGGAAUAUUGGACAAUGGGCGAAAGCCUGAUCCAGCCAUGCCGCGUGUGUGAAGAAGGCCUUCGGGUUGUAAAGCACUUUCAGUGGGGAAGAAAGCCUUGGGGCUAAUACCCUCGAGGAAGGACAUCACCCACAGAAGAAGCACCGGCUAACUCCGUGCCAGCAGCCGCGGUAAUACGGAGGGUGCGAGCGUUAAUCGGAAUUACUGGGCGUAAAGCGCGCGUAGGCGGUCUGAUAAGCCGGUUGUGAAAGCCCCGGGCUCAACCUGGGAACGGCAUCCGGAACUGUCAGGCUAGAGUGCAGGAGAGGAAGGUAGAAUUCCCGGUGUAGCGGUGAAAUGCGUAGAGAUCGGGAGGAAUACCAGUGGUGAAGGCGGCCUUCUGGACUGACACUGACGCUGAGGUGCGAAAGCGUGGGUAGCAAACAGGAUUAGAUACCCCAGUAGUC
rnacentral:rRNA from 1 species